GGGCUUCAGGUUAUCUCCCUGGUGACACAGGGGCAUGCUUACCAGGACGGUUAAUGCCACAACCCUACAAGGAGAGUUAAUGUUGGACAUCGGGACCUCACUGCCCUGGUGGCAAGGAUGGGGGACCCUGUCCAGGGAAUAGAGGCUCCUGGCCCCCAGGCAGGGCCCAGGAAGCUGGGCUUGGCAGGGAGGAGGGUGAUGCCCAGACACUAUUUGACAAUGACUAUGAAGGUGAGAAGCUGUUUGGCUUUGCCACCGAGGGGAUGGAGAAUGACAGACACCUUCAACUGGGGCUGCCCCCAUGGCAUAUUCAGGUUCCUGGGUUUGAAUUGGAGCUGUAGCUGCCAGCCUACAACAUAGCCACAGGAACAUGGGAUCCAAGCCGCAUCUGUGACCUACACCACAGGUCAUGGCAACACAGGAUCCUUAACCCACUGAGUGAGGCCAGGGAUCGAAUCUGCGGCCUCAUGGAUCCUAGUCGGGUUUGUUAACUGCUGAGCCACGAUGGGAACUCUGUGAACACGAUUUUUAAAAGCAGUCAUAAGAGAAAACAGAUCCCAGGAACAUCUGUAUGUUUCAUCUUCUUCAGGCUUUGACUCAGUUCUGUUGGCUUGGUUCUUGGAAGCCUCCGAAUUUUGCCCGCAAUCUGGAUCCUCACUGGCACUUCCAGCCUGGUUUGAUCCCAGAGAUGAGGAGCUGACCCUGGAGGCCAGGCCUGAGGCAGCAACUGCUGGAGAGGUGGAGGACAGCUUGGGGUGAGGGCCGCAGCUGUUCUUCUACGGGAGCCCCCGCCAAGAGCACAGCCCGGCAGGCCAACCUCAUCCGUGCUCUCACAGACCGGGUUGCCCCCACCCCCUGGAGUCAGAGGUCCACCUCCCCCUGGGGAUCAUCCACUGCGGAGGUGGGCACAGCCCUGGGGUGCGUCGGACUGGACCUCUCGGCUGUCCACACUCGCUCUUGGGGGACAGCCCCUCAUGACCUACUCCCCUCCUCAUCAUAUCUUUUGCAUCUGCAUCUGUAAACAAGGGGUAGCAUGGCCCUUCCAAUCCCAGCUGGGGACAUGGUGGCUCCUGAAGGUGCUCCUGACUGGCAGCGCCCCGGCCUCACACUGUCCUGGGGAAGGACGGUGAGGAAAAGGAGAGGCUGCAUUUCCCAGAACUGUGGUGUGGGUCACAGAUGCAUCUUGGAUCCUGUGUUGCUGCGGCUGUGGUGUAAGCCAGCAGCUGCAGCUCCAAUUCAACGCCUAGACUGGGAAUGUCCAUAUAUAAAAAAUGAUCCAACUGCAGUGGCUCCAGUCACUGGGAAGGUGCAAUUUCAACCCCUGGCUCCAGGCAAUGGGGUAAAGCAUCCAGCAUUGCAGCAGCUGCAGCUCAGAUUCAAAACCUGCCUCCGAAACUUCCACAUGCCUUGGGCCAUAAAAGAAAAAAAAAAAAAAAAAAAAAAAAAG
ensembl:lncRNA